UUCUUCCAUCUUCUGAAUCUCAUCGAUUUGAUUCACGACAUGCAUGUCUCUUCCUGAUUCUCUCCCUUCGUCUUCUUUUUAUUCUCAUGUGACCCGCGAAGAAACCGGGUUUCACGCUUACCAUGGAAUCUUUCCGAGUACGAUUACCGCCAUUGGAGCGUGUUUGCAUAUGAGAACGUGAGGGAUAGUUCGACUUCCGGAGACACUUGGUCUUGCGUUGUCGUCGUCGCUACCUUCUAUAACUUUGCCAGAUCCGAUUUGAAGAAGGUGCAACAAAGUUUAAAUGAUUUGAUCGCUUUGGUUGAUGAAGUUUGUCCUGCUGAUUUCUUGAGAUUCUCAUAAUCUCCGCAUGCAAGAAAUGGAGAAGAGAUCAGAGUUAUUGGAUCAGUCUUAUAUGGUUCUCCGCAUGAUCCAAGUAUCUAUGACGUAAUCUGUUUGGAAACAUCUAAAGCUUAAUCAAGAUCCGAAUAGUGUUAUACAUAGUUAAUAAAAUCCGUAUAAGGUCCGCGUCUUUUGAUUAAUAUAUUUACCAAUUUGUCCCUCUGUUUUUUUUUCCUUUUUCUUCGUUUUUGUAAAUCGUAAAGGCAUGUAAUGGAAUACUUGUUUUGUUUAU